rnacentral:rRNA from 1 species
UACGUAGGUGGCAAGCGUUGUCCGGAUUUACUGGGCGUAAAGGGCGUGCAGGCGGUUUGUUAAGUCUAGGGUGAAAGCUCCCGGCUCAACUGGGAGAGGUCCUUGGAUACUGGCAGACUUGAGGAGGGUAGAGGAGAGUGGAAUUCCCGGUGUAGUGGUGAUAUGCGUAGAUAUCGGGAGGAACACCAGUGGCGAAGGCGGCUCUCUGGGCCCUACCUGACGCUGAGACGCGAAAGCUAGGGGAGCAAACGGG